AGCUCGUGUCGUGAGAUGUUCGGUUAAGUCCGCUAACGAGCGCAACCCUCGCUGUAUGUUACAUGUGUCAUACAGGACCGCCGGUAUCAAGCCGGAGGAAGGUGGGGAUGACGUCAAGUCCGCAUGGCCUUUAUGUCCGGGGCUACACACACGCUACAAUGGUCGGUACAAUGGGUUGCUAAGCCGCGAGGUGGAGCCAAUCCCCCAAAGCCGGCCUCAGUUCAGAUUGCAGGCUGCAACUCGCCUGCAUGAAGCUGGAGUUGCUAGUAAACGCGCGUCAGCUAUAGUGCGUUGAAUACGUUCUCGGGCCUU
rnacentral:rRNA from 1 species